GACGAACGCUGGCGGCGUGCUUAACACAUGCAAGUCGAACGGAAAGGCCCUGCUUUUGUGGGGUGCUCGAGUGGCGAACGGGUGAGUAACACGUGAGUAACCUGCCCUUGACUUUGGGAUAACUUCUGGAAACUGGGGCUAAUACCGGAUAUGAGCUCUUGCUGCAUGGUGGGGGUUGGAAAGUUUCGGCGGUUGGGGAUGUACUCGCGGCUUAUCAGCUUGUUGGUGGGGUAGUGGCUUACCAAGGCUUUGACGGGUAGCCGGCCUGAGAGGGUGACCGGCCACAUUGGGACUGAGAUACGGCCCAGACGCCUACGGGAGGCAGCAGUGGGGAAUAUUGCACAAUGGGCGGAAGCCUGAGGCAGCAACGCCGCGUGCGGGAUGACGGCCUUCGGGUGGUAAACAGCUUUCGCCUGUGACGAAGCGUGAGUGACGGUAAUGGGUAAAGAAGCACCGGCUAACUACGUG
rnacentral:rRNA from 1 species